AUUUCAUUAAGUAGACUAUCACCACUUUUCAACUACAAUCACAGUAACUCCUUGGUCCAAUAUUUUUUCACAUGAUACAAGCUCUUCUGUAGCUAGAACUUCAAUCAAAAUCAAAUAAAAGCCCUACUGAGGAACGAAUGUUGUGAGCAAAAAAAAUCCAGAAUUGUAAUCACAACUCUAGAAAAGCGCCAACAGGAAGGCUUAG
rnacentral:misc_RNA from 1 species